rnacentral:rRNA from 1 species
AUUGAACGCUGGCGGCAGGCUUAACACAUGCAAGUCGAGCGGUAACAUUUCUAGCUUGCUAGAAGAUGACGAGCGGCGGACGGGUGAGUAAUACUUAGGAAUCUACCUAGUAGUGGGGGAUAGCUCGGGGAAACUCGAAUUAAUACCGCAUACGACCUACGGGAGAAAGGGGGCAACUUGUUGCUCUCGCUAUUAGAUGAGCCUAAGUCGGAUUAGCUAGAUGGUGGGGUAAAGGCCUACCAUGGCGACGAUCUGUAGCUGGUCUGAGAGGAUGAUCAGCCACACCGGGACUGAGACACGGCCCGGACUCCUACGGGAGGCAGCAGUGGGGAAUAUUGGACAAUGGGGGAAACCCUGAUCCAGCCAUGCCGCGUGUGUGAAGAAGGCCUUUUGGUUGUAAAGCACUUUAAGCAGUGAAGAAGACUCUUCGGUUAAUACCCGGAGACGAUGACAUUAGCUGCAGAAUAAGCACCGGCUAACUCUGUGCCAGCAGCCGCGGUAAUACAGAGGGUGCAAGCGUUAAUCGGAAUUACUGGGCGUAAAGCGAGCGUAGGUGGCUUGAUAAGUCAGAUGUGAAAUCCCCGGGCUUAACCUGGGAACUGCAUCUGAUACUGUUAGGCUAGAGUAGGUGAGAGGAAGGUAGAAUUCCAGGUGUAGCGGUGAAAUGCGUAGAGAUCUGGAGGAAUACCGAUGGGCGAAGGCAGCCUUCUGGCAUCAUACUGACACUGAGGCUCGAAAGCGUGGGUAGCAAACAUAG